AUCCUGAGAAGGAAGAAUAAAGCAGGGGUUAUAUCACUUCCCAACUUCAAGCUCUACUACAAAGCCACAGUAAUCAAGACAAUUUGGUAGUGGCACAAGAACAGACCCAUAGACCAGUGGAAUAGAAUAGAGAGUCCAGAUAUUCCAGAUAUUAACCCAAGCAUAUAUGGUCAAUAAAUAUGUGCUAAAGGAGCCAUGGACAUACAAUGGUGAAAUGACAGCCUUUUCAACAGCUGGUAUUGGCAAAACUGGACCACCACAUGUUAGAGAGUGUAACUGAAAUAGUGCCUAACACCAUACAUAAAAGUGAACUAGAAAUGGAUCAAAGGCCUGAAUGUAAGUCAUGAAACCAUAAAAGUCUUAGAAGCAAACAGUCAAAUCUCUCUUGGACAUAAACAUGAGCAACUUCUUCAUGAACAUAUCUCCCCAGGCAAGGGAAACAAAAGCAAAAAUGAACAAGUGGAACUAUAUCAAGCUGAAAAUCUUCUGUACAGCAAAGGACACCACCAAGAGAACAAAAAGGCAUCCUACAGUAUGGGAGAACAUAUUCAUAAAUGACAGAUCCAAUAAGGGGUUGACAUCCAAAACAUAUAAAGAGCUCACGUACCUCAACAAAAAGAAGCUAAUAUUCAAAUUUAAAAAUGGGCAGAGGAGCUGAAUAGACAGUUCUCCAAAGAAGUAAUUCAGAUGGCCAACAGUCACAUGAAAAGAUGCUCCACAUCGCUAGUCAUCACAGAGAUGCAAAUUAAAGCCACAAUGAGAUAUCACCUCAGACCAGUUUAGGAUGGACACCAUCCCAAAGACAAACAACAACAAAUGUUGACGAGGAUGUGGAUAAAGGAGAACCCUCCUACACCACUGGAGGGAAUGUAAGUCAGUUCAACCAUUGUGCAAAGCAGUAUGGAGGUUCCUCAAAAAACUAAAAAUUGAAAUACCAUUUGACCCAUGAAUUCCACUCCUAGGAAUUUACCCUAAGAAUGCAGCACCCCAGUUUGAAAAAGACAUAUGCACCCCUAUGAUUAUUGCAGCACUAUUUACAAUAGCCAAUAAAUUGAAGCAACUUAAGUGUCCAUCAGUAGAUGAAUGGAUAAAGAAGAUGUGGUACACAUACACAAUGGAAUAUUAUUCAGCUAUAAGAAGAAAACAAAUCCUACCAUUUGCAACAACAUGGAUGGAGCUAGAGGGUAUUAUGCUCAGUGAAAUAAGCCAGGCGAAGAAAGACAAGUACCAAAUUAUUUCACUCAUUUGUGGAGUAUAAAACAAAGAAAAAACUGAAGGAACAAAACAGCAGCAGACUCACAGAACCCAAGGAUGGACUAAGAAUUACCAAAGGGAAAGGGACUGGGAGGAUGCAUGGGAAGGGAGGGAUAAGGGGAAAAGGGGGCAUUACGAUUAGCAGACAUAAUGUAGCAGGAGUGGGGGCAUGGGCAAGGCAGUAUAACACAGAGAAGACAAGUAGUGAUUCUACAGCGUCUUACUGUGCUGAUGGACAGUGACUGUAAUGGGGUAUGUGGUGGGGACUUGAUAAGUGGGGAAGUCUAGUAACCAUAAUGUUGUUCAUAAAUUAUUACAUUAAUGUCAAGUGUACAUCAUAGCAUUUUGACAAUUAUAUAUAUAUUAUGAGAUUAUCUCCACCAUAAAUGUAGUUAUAAUCUGUCACAAUACAGUUAUUACAAUAUUAUGACUAUGUUCCCUGUGCUGUACUUUUCAUCCCUCUGACAUUUUUACAAUUGGAAGUUUGCACCUAUUUAUCUAAAGAGUUCAUUUUUUAUAGGUGAGUAAUAUUCCCGUGUGUGUGUGUGUCUGUGUCUAUAUCACAUUUUCUUCAUCCAUUCAUGUGUUGAUGGAGACUUUGUUGUUCCCAUAUCUUUGCUAUUGUAAAUAAUGCUGUAGUGAACAUAGGUCUGCAUACAUAUUUGUGGGUUGUUUUUGCUCUGUUCAGAUAAAUAACCAGAAGUGGAAUUAGAAGAUCAUGUGGUAAUUCCCACCAACAAUGUAUGAGGGCUCCCUUUUCUCCACAUCCACACCAACUCUUGUUAUUUUUUUGUUUUCUUAAUAAUAACCAAUCUGACAGGUGUGAGGUGAUAUUUCAUUGUGGUUUUGAUUUGCAUUUCCCUCAUUAUUUGUGAUGUUGAGCAUCUUUUAUGUGUCUGUUGGCCAUCUGCAGGACAUCUUUGGAAAAAAUAUCCAUUCAAGCCCUCUUACCAUUUUUUAAUUGGCUUAAUUUUUUGAUACUAAGUUCUGUAAAUUCUUUAGAAAAUUUGGAUAUUAAUCCCAUGUCAGGCAUAUGAUUUGCAAGUAGUUCCUUCCAUUUACUAGCUUGCCUUUUCCUUUUAUUGAUGGUUUCCUAAACUAUGCAAAAACUUUUUAGUUUGAUGCAGUCCCAUUUGUUUAUUUUAGCUUUUAUUACCCUUGCCUGAUCAGAUUCUUCCAAAAACAUAUUGCUAAGAUUAAUGUCAAAAAUCUUGCUGCCUAUGUUUUCUUGUAAGAGUUUUAUGGUUUCAGGUAUUACAUUCAAGUUUUGAAUCCACUUUGCAUUUAUUUUAUGUAGGUUGUAAUAUACUGAUCCAGUUUCCUUCUUUUGCAUGUACCUAGCAGUUUCCCCAGCACUAUUUAUUGAAGAGACUGUCUUUUCCCCAUUGUAUAUUCUUGCCUCUUUGUCAUAGCUUAAUUGAUCAUAUAUACAU